GUCAAGUGGACCGGGGGCCCGUUUCAGAAAGCAGGUUUUUGUGAAAACUCUGAGUUAGUUAAACCCGAGAUGGUUUUUCGGUUUCACAAAGCCAGUUCAGCAUAACUCGGAGUCAGUUACCCUAGCAACAUACUCUGUGAAACUAACCUGCUCGCUGAGUUUCACCUGCUCUUAAGUUGAAGCCUGCAGACGGAAGGCAGUGGCAGACAUGGCGUGUCCUUUUAUUGAAGAGCCAGUUGAUGUCAAGGCGCAGAUACUCCGCAGAAAUCUCCGUCGGGAGAGGGUUAUUAGACCCCGAUUGGAUGUUUUAUCAUUCCCUGAUGAGUAUCUGUUUGAGCGUUUCCGUUUCUCUGCAUCAUCUAUAAUUUAUCUAAACAAUAUUCUCAGCCUUCACAUAGUUCACAUGACACAUCGUGGACACGCUCUCAGUUCCGAGCAAAUUCUUUGUAUCGCACUGCGUCUUUUUGCCAACGGCAGUUUUUUGUAUAACGUCGGUGAUGCAGAGCAUGUGUCCAAGGGUUGUUCGAAAUGUGACACUUGCACUGAAACAGCUACUAUACACGUCUGUAGUGUUCCCAAGUCACGGACCCAGCAGACUUCUCAAAGAAGAGUUCCACAGAAUUGCAGUCUAAGCAAUAAUUUUUUGCCCGUGGAGAGUUUGAUGGUUAUCUACUCGGAGACAGAGGGUACCCCUGCCAGCGCUAUCCGCUGACCCCUUACCCUGGCCCACAGCGACACUACAACUUGGCUCACUGCAGGACACGAGCCAGAGUGGAGAUGACCAUCGGCAUACUCAAGGCCCGGUUCCAGGGCCUUCGUAGCCUCAGGGUCACCCCGGAAAGGGCUUGUGACAUUAUAGUGGCAUGUGUGGUCCUCCACAACAUUGCCACUAUUAGAGGAGAACAAUGUCCUACUCUUUCCCCCAAUGAUCCAGAUAAUAAUCCUGACCCCCCUGCUGAUGCACGAGAUGGAAGAGCUGUUAGAGACAUGAUAUGCUUCAAUCAUUUCUAACUGACCCAUCACCUCCCCAGUGUCAAAGAACGACAAUAUGCCUCAUUUUAUGGGGUCUUCUUUAUUUCCUAGAAGGGCAAAUGUUGUACAGUUGUUAAUCCUUUGUUGUUGAAACAAUUAAAAAACAUCCACCUGUGGGCACGUCACCCACCUUUAA